GCCUGCGGCCACACCACCGUGAAUAAGCCUGAUCUCGUCUGAUCUCAGAAGCUAAGCAUCGUUGGGCUUGGUUAGUACUUGGCUGGGAGACCCCCUGGGAAUAUCAAGUGCUGUAGGCAUU
rnacentral:rRNA from 1 species